rnacentral:lncRNA from 1 species
CCGAGGAUGACAUGGACCGAGAAUAAGGGGUUGCUCUAGGACCAGGGUUUUUUCUUGAAAAGAUAGGUCCCUUAGAGCUUGGUUGUUGUUGCUUCUUACGUCUCUCAGCAUCCAUUAAAUUCUUCUCUAACACCUUAGCUCUCUCCACUAAGGCAAGGAACUUUUGAAUACAAUGGCUGGCAUUGACUGGCUUCAAAUCUUCUCUCAGUCCAUUUUCAAAUUUUCUACACUGCCAUUCUUCACUCAUCCUCAUUGUGUAAAAUCUCAUCAGUUGCUUAAAUCUGUUGGCGUACUCAGACACCGUCAUUCCCCCUUGUACUAACUGAAGGAACUCCACCUCUUUGGCAAACCGGACACUAUUUGGGAAAUAAUCCUCAUAAAAUCUCUUCUUGAAUAUU